rnacentral:rRNA from 1 species
AGUGAACGCUGGCGGUAGGCCUAACACAUGCAAGUCGAACGGCAGCACAGUAAGAGCUUGCUCUUACGGGUGGCGAGUGGCGGACGGGUGAGGAAUACAUCGGAAUCUACUUUUUCGUGGGGGAUAACGUAGGGAAACUUACGCUAAUACCGCAUACGACCUACGGGUGAAAGCAGGGGAUCUUCGGACCUUGCGCGAUUGAAUGAGCCGAUGUCGGAUUAGCUAGUUGGCGGGGUAAAGGCCCACCAAGGCGACGAUCCGUAGCUGGUCUGAGAGGAUGAUCAGCGACACUGGAACUGAGACACGGUCCAGACUCCUACGGGAGGCAGCAGUGGGGAAUAUUGGACAAUGGGCGCAAGCCUGAUCCAGCCAUACCGCGUGGGUGAAGAAGGCCUUCGGGUUGUAAAGCCCUUUUGUUGGGAAAGAAAAGCGGCAGGUUAAUACCCCGCUGUUCUGACGGUACCCAAAGAAUAAGCACCGGCUAACUUCGUG